AAGAGUAACAACAAAGAAGCCGCUAACUAUCUUGAAAGUGUUUAAUCACUUUACUCUUA
rnacentral:tRNA from 1 species